rnacentral:rRNA from 1 species
AGAGUUUGAUCAUGGCUCAGGAUGAACGCUAGCUACAGGCUUAACACAUGCAAGUCGAGGGGCAGCAUGGUCUUAGCUUGCUAAGGCCGAUGGCGACCGGCGCACGGGUGAGUAACACGUAUCCAACCUGCCGUCUACUCUUGGACAGCCUUCUGAAAGGAAGAUUAAUACAAGAUGGCAUCAUGAGUUCACAUGUUCACAUGAUUAAAGGUAUUCCGGUAGACGAUGGGGAUGCGUUCCAUUAGAUAGUAGGCGGGGUAACGGCCACCUAGUCUUCGAUGGAUAGGGGUUCUGGAGAGGAAGGUCCCCCANAUUGGAACUGAGACACGGUCCAAACUCCUACGGAGGCA